rnacentral:rRNA from 1 species
UCAUCCUGACCAGGCAUAGUUCGCCAUCUUUCGGGUCCCAGCGUGUACGCUCUUGGUGCGCCACAACUUGCAAUAAGUAUAUGCAACGCCCCGGGAAUGCGAGGUAACAUAAAUAACGUAACCUAUCUUCCCUUUAUACAAUAAAAUAUACAUUCACUUUCAUUGCGCCUUUAGGUUUAUUAUAAAUACCCAAUGACUUGCGCAUG